UGGUUAAAAUACUUAUGCUAAUCAGUGGCGGAGCCACAUGCAACAACAUGGGGGCAAUGAACCCAACAAGAUUAAAAAAAUAGUGUAACUUAAAGCUCAAUCUAUAUGAUGUCCCCACUCAUAAUUAUUUUUUGCUCCCAUACCUUUUUUUUUGCCCCCAACAGAAAUAUUUUCUGCCUCCGCCGAUGAUGCUAAUCCAUACAAUUUAUUUCAACAUAGAAUAAUAUAUUACAUUUGGAAAAAAAUAUGCCCCUGAGGCUAAAACUUUU
rnacentral:lncRNA from 1 species